GAUGAACGCUGGCGGCGCGCCUAACACAUGCAAGUCGAACGAGUGGCGAAGGGCUGAGUAACACGUGGGCAACCUGCCCUCCUCUUGGGGAUAGCCUCGGGAAACCGAGGAUAAUACCCGAUAGAGAAGGAUGGGCCCGCGGCCGGUUAGCUUGUUGGUGGGGUAGAGGCCUACCAAGGCAAUGAUGGGUAGCUGGGUUGCGAGACCGAACAGCCAGCUUGGGACUGAGACACGGCCCCGACUCCUAAUGGAGGCAGCAGUGGGGAAUCUUGCACAAUGGACGAAAGUCUGACGGAGCAACGCCGCGUGAGUGAUGACGGCCUUCGGGUUGUAAAGCGCUGUUACUCGGGACGCGGUACCGGAAUAGAAAGCCACGGCUAACUACGUGCCAGCAGCCGCGGUAAUUC
rnacentral:rRNA from 1 species